UACGUAGGGGGCAAGCGUUGUCCGGAAUCAUUGGGCGUAAAGGGCGCGUAGGCGGCCCGCUAAGUCGAACGUGAAAUCCCCGAGCUCAACUCGGGAACUGCGUCCGAUACUGGCGGGCUUGAAUCCGGGAGAGGGAUGCGGAAUUCCAGGUGGAACGGUGAAAUGUGUAGAGAUGUGGAGGAACACCGAUGGCGAAGGCAGCCUCCUGGGCCAACACUGACGCUCAUGCACGAAAGCGUGGGGAGCAAACAGG
rnacentral:rRNA from 1 species